GAACCUUCGGGGGACGAUAACGGCGUCGAGCGGCGGACGGGUGAGUAAUGCCUAGGAAAUUGCCCUGAUGUGGGGGAUAACCAUUGGAAACGAUGGCUAAUACCGCAUGAUGCCUACGGGCCAAAGAGGGGGACCUUCGGGCCUCUCGCGUCAGGAUAUGCCUAGGUGGGAUUAGCUAGUUGGUGAGGUAAGGGCUCACCAAGGCGACGAUCCCUAGCUGGUCUGAGAGGAUGAUCAGCCACACUGGAACUGAGACACGGUCCAGACUCCUACGGGAGGCAGCAGUGGGGAAUAUUGCACAAUGGGCGCAAGCCUGAUGCAGCCAUGCCGCGUGUGUGAAGAAGGCCUUCGGGUUGUAAAGCACUUUCAGUCGUGAGGAAGGUAGUGUAGUUAAUAGCUGCAUUAUUUGACGUUAGCGACAGAAGAAGCACCGGCUAACUCCGUGCCAGCAGCCGCGGUAAUACGGAGGGUGCGAGCGUUAAUCGGAAUUACUGGGCGUAAAGCGCAUGCAGGUGGUUUGUUAAGUCAGAUGUGAAAGCCCGGGGCUCAACCUCGGAAUAGCAUUUGAAACUGGCAGACUAGAGUACUGUAGAGGGGGGUAGAAUUUCAGGUGUAGCGGUGAAAUGCGUAGAGAUCUGAAGGAAUACCGGUGGCGAAGGCGGCCCCCUGGACAGAUACUGACACUCAGAUGCGAAAGCGUGGGGAGCAAACAGGAUUAGAUACCCUGGUAGUCCACGCCGUAAACGAUGUCUACUUGGAGGUUGUGGCCUUGAGCCGUGGCUUUCGGAGCUAACGCGUUAAGUAGACCGCCUGGGGAGUACGGUCGCAAGAUUAAAACUCAAAUGAAUUGACGGGGGCCCGCACAAGCGGUGGAGCAUGUGGUUUAAUUCGAUGCAACGCGAAGAACCUUACCUACUCUUGACAUCCAGAGAACUUUCCAGAGAUGGAUUGGUGCCUUCGGGAACUCUGAG
rnacentral:rRNA from 1 species